rnacentral:rRNA from 1 species
CAGCCGCCGCGGUAAUACGAAGGGUGCAAGCGUUAAUCGGAAUUACUGGGCGUAAAGCGCGCGUAGGUGGUUCAUUAAGUUGGAUGUGAAAGCCCUGGGCUCAACCUGGGAACUGCAUCCAAAACUGGUGAGCUAGAGUACGGUAGAGGGUAGUGGAAUUUCCUGUGUAGCGGUGAAAUGCGUAGAUAUAGGAAGGAACACCAGUGGCGAAGGCGACUACCUGGACUGAUACUGACACUGAGGUGCGAAAGCGUGGGGAGCAAACAGGAUUAGAUACCCCUGUAGUCACUGUCUCUUAUAA